GAAGGACGUUACUAACGACGAUAUGCUUUGGGGAGCUGUAAGUAAGCUUUGAUCCAGAGAUUUCCGAAUGGGGAAACCCAGCACGAGUUAUGUCGUGUUAUCUGCAUGUGAAUACAUAGCAUGCAAGAAGGCAGACCCGGAGAACUGAAACAUCUUAGUACCCGGAGGAAGAGAAAGAAAAAUCGAUUCCCUGAGUAGCGGCGAGCGAAACGGGAAGAGCCCAAACCAAUAAGCUUGCUUAUUGGGGUUGUAGGACACUCUGUACGGAGUUACAAAAGAAUUUGUUAGACGAAUAACCUGGAAAGGUUAAUCAGAGAAGGUAAUAAUCCUGUAGUCGAAAACGAAUUCUCUCUUGAGUGGAUCCUGAGUACGACGGAGCACGUGAAAUUCCGUCGGAAUCUGGGAGGACCAUCUCCUAAGGCUAAAUACUCUCUAGUGACCGAUAGUGAACCAGUACCGUGAGGGAAAGGUGAAAAGUACCCCGGAAGGGGAGUGAAAGAGAACUUGAAACCGUGUGCUUACAAGUAGUCAGAGCCCGUUAAUGGGUGAUGGCGUGCCUUUUGUAGAAUGAACCGGCGAGUUACGAUCUGAUGCAAGGUUAAGCAGAAAAUGUGGAGCCGUAGCGAAAGCGAGUCUGAAUAGGGCGAAUGAGUAUUUGGUCGUAGACCCGAAACCAGGUGAUCUACCCUUGGUCAGGUUGAAGUUCAGGUAACACUGAAUGGAGGACCGAACCGACUUACGUUGAAAAGUGAGCGGAUGAACUGAGGGUAGCGGAGAAAUUCCAAUCGAACUUGGAGAUAGCUGGUUCUCUCCGAAAUAGCUUUAGGGCUAGCCUCAAGUGAUGAUUAUUGGAGGUAGAGCACUGUUUGGACGAGGGGCCCCUCUCGGGUUACCGAAUUCAGACAAACUCCGAAUGCCAAAUAAUUUAACUUGGGAGUCAGAAUGUGGGUGAUAAGGUCCAUAUUCGAAAGGGAAACAGCCCAGACCACCAGCUAAGGUCCCAAAAUAUAUGUUAAGUGGAAAAGGAUGUGGCGUUGCCCAGACAACUAGGAUGUUGGCUUAGAAGCAGCCAUCAUUUAAAGAGUGCGUAAUAGCUCACUAGUCGAGUGACACUGCGCCGAAAAUGUACCGGGGCUAAACAUAUUACCGAAGCUGUGGAUUGUCC
rnacentral:rRNA from 1 species